rnacentral:rRNA from 1 species
ACAAAAAGUAAGUAAGGGCACAUGGCGGAUGCCUUGGCUCUCGGAGGCGAUGAAGGACGUGAUAAGCUGCGAUAAGCUGCGGGUAGGUGCAAAUGACCUUUGAUCCGCGGAUUUCCGAAUGGGACAACCCGGUACUUUGAAGAAGUAUCAUCCUGCAUUGCAGGAGGCUAACGCAGGGAACUGAAACAUCUUAGUACCUGCAGGAAAAGAAAAUAAACAAUGAUUCCCCCAGUAGUGGCGAGCGAACGGGGAAUAGCCCAAACCAUCCAUGUUACGGCAUGGGUGGGGUUGUAGGACCACGCCGUGGCAAGAAAGUUGGUGAGCAGAAUGUUCUGGAAAGUACAGCCAUAGAGCAUGAGAGCUGCGUAUGCGAAGCCAAGCGAAGCCUAGUGGUAUCCUGAGUAGCGCGGAGCACGAGGAAUUCUGCGUGAAUCUGCCGGGACCAUCCGGUAAGGCUAAAUACUCCCGAGAGACCGAUAGUGAACCAGUACUGUGAAGGAAAGGUGAAAAGCACUUCGAACAGAAGAGUGAAAUAGUUCCUGAAACCAUGUGCCUACAAGCGGUCGGAGCACCUUCUGGUGUGACGGCGUGCCUUUUGCAUAAUGAACCUACGAGUUACUUUUUCCGGCGAGGUUAAGGAUUUCAGAUCUGCAGCCGAAGCGAAAGCGAGUCUGAACAGGGCGUAUAGUCGGAAGGAGUAGACGCGAAACCAAGUGAUCUACCCUUGGGCAGGUUGAAGGAUGGGUAACACCAUCUGGAGGACCGAACCAAUAAGCGUUGAAAAGCUUCUGGAUGACCUGAGGGUGGGGGUGAAAGGCUAAUCAAACUUGGAGAUAGCUCGUACUCCCCGAAAUGCAUUUAGGUGCAGCCUUGACUUAUACUGGCAUGAGGUAGAGCGACUGAUAAGAUGCGAGGGCUUCACCGCCUAUCAAGUCUUGACAAACUCCGAAUGCGUGUCAGUUCUAUGUCAGGAGUGAGGGCAUGGGUGCUAAGGUCCAUGUCCUAAAGGAGAACAAUCCGGACCAACAGCUAAGGUCCCGAAAUGAAUACUAAGUUGAACUAACGAAGUCAGAUUGCUAAGACAGCUAGGAUGUUGGCUUGGAAGCAGCCAUUCAUUUAAAGAGUGCGUAACAGCUCACUAGUCGAGGAGUUUGGCGUGGAUAAUAAUCGGGCAUAAGUAUUCUACCGAAGCUUUGGGAUGAGAAAUCAUCGGUAGGGGAGCAUUCCACUCGGCGUCGAAGGUGAAGCGCGAGCUUUGCUGGAGCGUGUGGAAAAGCAAAUGUAGGUAUAAGUAACGAUAAAGGGGGUGGGAAACCCCCUCGCCGAAAGACUAAGGUUUCCUGAUCAACGCUAAUCGGAUCAGGGUAAGUCGGGUCCUAAGGCUCAGCCGAACGGCGAGGCCGAUGGCAGAACCGGUUAAUAUUCCGGUACUACCUGUGGGAGUGACGUGGAGACGGAGUCGUGACAGCGCCGCGGACUGACGGAAUAGUCCGUUGAAGGGUGUAGAUGCUGAUUGUUCCAGGCAAAUCCGGAGCAAGAGUCGAACCUGACAGUAUGGAGCGUUCUUAGAACAAUCCAAUAGUGCGUGUAAUCAUACUUCCAAGAAAAUCCGCUAAACUUAAUCCUGCAGGUACCCGUACCGCAAACGGACACACGUAGUCGGGUUGAAUAUACUAAGGCGCUUGAGUGAUUCACGGUUAAGGAACUAGGCAAACUGACCCUGUAACUUCGGGAUAAAGGGUCCUCGCUUUACGGCGAGGCGCAGAGAAUAGGUCCAGGCAACUGUUUAACAAAAACACAGGGCUGUGCAAAAUUGAAAGAUGAAGUAUACAGCCUGACACCUGCCCGGUGCUGGAAGGUUAAGAGGAGAUGUCAUCGCAAGAGAAGCAUUGAAUUGAAGCCCCAGUAAACGGCGGCCGUAACUAUAACGGUCCUAAGGUAGCG